rnacentral:rRNA from 1 species
GACGUAGGGCGCGAGCGUUGUCCGGAUUUAUUGGGCGUAAAGAGCUCGUAGGCGGUUCGUCGCGUCGGCUGUGAAAAACCCGGAGCUCAACUCCGGGCCUGCAGUCGAUACGGGCGGACUUGAGUGUUGCAGGGGAGACUGGAAUUCCUGGUGUAGCGGUGAAAUGCGCAGAUAUCAGGAGGAACACCGGUGGCGAAGGCGGUUCUCUGGGCAUUACCUGACGCUGAGGAGCGAAAGCAUGGGGAGCGAACAGG